AAAAACAUGUCUUUUUGGUUAUUUAAUAUAAAGUCUGACCUGCCCACUGAAUUUAAUUUUUGAAGGGCCGCAGUAUUUUGACUGUGCAAAGGUAGCAUAAUCAUUAGUCUUUUAAUUGAAGGCUGGUAUGAAUGGUUGGAUGAGGUACAAGCUGUGUCAUAAAAAUUAAUGAUUGAAUUUAACUUUUUAGUCAAAAGGCUAAAAUUUAAUUAAAAGACGAGAAGACCCUAUAGAGCUUUAUAUAAUGAUUAUUUAAUUUAUUAAGAUUUAUUAAAUUUAAUUAUUUUAUUAUAUUUUGUUGGGGUGACAAUAAAAUUUAUAAAACUUUUAUUAUUAUUUUACAUUUAUUUAUGAUUCUAUGAUCCAGUUUUAUUGAUUAUAAAUUUAAGUUACCUUAGGGAUAACAGCGUAAUUUUUUUUGAGAGUUCAUAUCGACAAAAAAGAUUGCGACCUCGAUGUUGGAUUAAGAGUAAUUUUGGGUGUAGAAGUUCAAAGUUUAAAUCUGUUCGACUUUUAAAUUCUUACAUGAUCUGAGUUC
rnacentral:rRNA from 1 species